rnacentral:rRNA from 1 species
GAUGAACGCUAGCGGCAGGCUUAACACAUGCAAGUCGAGGGGUAUAGUUCUUCGGAACUAGAGACCGGCGCACGGGUGCGUAACGCGUAUGCAAUCUACCUUUUGCAGAGGGAUAGCCCAGAGAAAUUUGGAUUAAUACCUCAUAGUAUGUGAGAAUGGCAUCAUUUUCACAUUAAAGUCACAACGGCAAAAAGAUGAGCAUGCGUCCCAUUAGCUUGUUGGUAAGGUAACGGCUUACCAAGGCUACGAUGGGUAGGGGUCCUGAGAGGGAGAUCCCCCACACUGGUACUGAGACACGGACCAGACUCCUACGGGAGGCAGCAGUGAGGAAUAUUGGACAAUGGGCGCAAGCCUGAUCCAGCCAUGCCGCGUGCAGGAUGACGGUCCUAUGGAUUGUAAACUGCUUUUGGUACAGGAAGAAACACUGGUU